CCUCCAGCCUUGCCCCACUGGGUCCCUUUGGUUUGUUUCAGGACCCCUUUCCUGUUAUCCCUUGGGAAAGGAAGCAUUUAUGUGAAUUCCAACCCCCAGGACUGAGGCCAUGCUAUUGUACAGGUAGGCCUGGAACUCCCCAAGUAUGGAACAUGGUCUUUUCCUCACUCAUUCACAAAUGGCUCUGGAGAUGGCCACAGACCAAGAAAGGGUGACCCUUCCUGAAGUCUUGUGGAAGCAGCAUAAGUCCUCAGGGAAGGGCAGAGCUGCCUAAGAACUGAGAAGACUGUGGCAGCCAUGCCCACAACCAGAACACGGAGAGACAGGUGCCUGCCACAGACCCAUUUCCCUCAGGUGUCUCUCCAUGCUCUGGUUGUGCCUCACCACACUCAAGCCUUGGGCAGAGCGAGGCCCCCUGGAGAGCAAGAGCUUGUGGAAAGAAACAGGAAAAACGGGUCAGUGAUUCCUGGCAGAGGGGCAGUCCAGGGCAAAAGCCAGGAGGCGGGGAGGGCCUGGGAGAUGGCCAAGGAGGGCAGAGGAGGCUUGCCCAGUGCAUUUUUGCUGCUUUAUGGGUUGGGGGCAGGGCUGAUAGGCACAAUGGAAAGGAUCAGAGAAAGGGUGUCAGUGUGAUGGAUAGCUUGGCCAUCUUGGGGUACAGGCAAGGCUGGCAGUCAGGGAGGGAGGGGGCUUUCCCACCCUGUGUUCUCACCAGACCCUCAAUAACCAAUGGCCUCAUCUUCCUCUUUCUUGAGCUGUGUGGGAAUAACAAGGCUUGUAACAAACCAUUCUGGCUUGAUGGACAGAACUAGGUAGAUCCCGAGCAGAGCUUAUCUCUGUGUUCCACACCCCAGGCUCUGCUCUAGAGCCCUUCAGCUGGCCAGGCUGCUCCCUCGCUGCCACCAUGUCCCUGCUUGGCCCUCCAUCUUUCUGCUGACUCUGCUAUGAUACCGUGGCCAGAAUGGACUCAAAGGAGCAGGUCAGGAAGAGAUGCCAAAUAGGAGCUUCUGCUUGCAGCUGACACCCCUGUGUGCCAUCACUCAGCCCUCCAGUGUGAUCCUAGUACCCCUGUGCCACCUGGGAUUGAUGGAGGACCUGCCAAGGAGACUUGUGCCUGGAGUGUUCCCAUGCCACUCUACCUCAUAGAUUCUAGAUCUGGAUACACAAUGUGGACUUAAGUCUAAUGACUCCAGGGUCCUCAGACUUGCUCCUGUGAUCCUUGGCU